CCACCCCCAUCGCUUGAGAUGAUCCAAGAGAUAAGUCCCUCCCUCUCUCUCAUGCUUGGGUUUGGGUUAGGGUUUCCUUGCCUUUCCCCUUCCUCCCUCCCUCUCCCUCCUCCUCCUCUUCCUCUCUCUCUCUCUCUCUCUCUCUCAUGCUCGCUCGCUCGAGUUAGGUUUAGGCUUCCUUUGGCCCUCCCCCUUCCUUGCUCACUCCCUCUCCCUUCCCUCCCUCUCUCUCUUUCUUUCUUCUUUUUUCCCUC
rnacentral:lncRNA from 1 species